GAUGAACGCUGGCGGCGUGCCUAACACAUGCAAGUCGAGCGAUUCUCUUCGGAGAAGAGCGGCGGACGGGUGAGUAACGCGUGGGUAACCUGCCCUGUACACACGGAUAACAUACCGAAAGGUAUGCUAAUACGAGAUAAUAUGCUUUUAUCGCAUGGUAGAAGUAUCAAAGCUCCGGCGGUACAGGAUGGACCCGCGCCUGAUUAGCUAGUUGGUAAGGUAACGGCUUACCAAGGCGACGAUCAGUAGCCGACCUGAGAGGGUGAUCGGCCACAUUGGAACUGAGACACGGUCCAAACUCCUAUGGGAGGCAGCAGUGGGGAAUAUUGCACAAUGGGCGAAAGCCUGAUGCAGCAACGCCGCGUGAGCGAUGAAGGCCUUCGGGUCGUAAAGCUCUGUCCUCAAGGAAGAUAAUGACGGUACUUGAGGAGGAAGCCCCGGCUAACUACGUGCCAGCAGCCGCCGUAAAAC
rnacentral:rRNA from 1 species